AUAACACGGGACCAAGUCAUCAAGGACUAUAACUAGAAUUUUUAAGCAUAUAUAUGGAUUUUUUAUGUAAUGGAGGAAGGACGUCGCCUAUUAUCCUGAGGAUGAGCUAUUCCAGGAAUCUACACACCAAUAGGGGCUGCGCGAUUCCGGACUGAUUUUGCAUCGUACUCGCAAAACAAAUAUUUGAAUAUGCAUCGAAUUAUAUGCAUACCAAAUUACACAUCGAAGUAUAUAUUUAUAUCAGGAGAUACUAAACUAAAUAUGGAAUCAUAUUAUCAUAGCCCGAUAAACUAAAUUACACUUUGAACUAUAUAAUUGUACAGUUAACUCUUAAUAUUGUAACACACAUCGAAUCACGUAUAUCAGUCAAGAUUUAUUGAUUAACAAGAAAAUGGAAAUACAUAUGGAAUGCAUUAAAAAAAACUAGAUCGCUUAA